GGGCAACCCGCUAGCGUCCCAUUGAAUGCUGUAGAGGGUUGGUUUUUUUUUUUGCUCUUUGCAAUAAAUCUUGCUGUUGCUCACUCUUUGGGUCCGUGCUGCCUUUAUGAGCUGUAACACUCACCGCGAAGGUUUGCAGCCUCGCUCCUGAAGCCAGUGAGACCACCAACCCACCAACCCACUGGGAGAAAUGAAUAACUCCAGACGCGCUGCCUUUAAGAGCUCUAACACUCACCGCGAAGGUCUGCAGCUUCACUCCUGAAGGCAGCGAGACUGCGCACCCACCAGAAGGAAUAAACUCCGGACCUAUCUGAACAUCUGAAGGAACAAACUCCCGACACAACAUGUUUAAAAACUGUAACACUCACCACGUGGGUCUGUGGCUUUAUUCUUGAAGUCAGCGAGACCAAGAACCCACCAAUUGCGGACGCGGUAGGACUGCCAAAUAAAGAGACUGGAGGAAACCUCGAAUUCAUCUCCUCAAGGAAUUUUGGGGCUAGGAUUUUGGAGUGGGCUGGAGUGUGGAGAUCAUUGACUGAUCAAAAAGUGCAGGGUGAAGUCAUGGGACAGGGAGGUGAAGAACCUGUAUUCUCAUCCUGAUUUGGUUCCUCUGUGGGGAUCUUUAAACUUGGUGUCAGCUGGUCACUAGAAUUCAGAAUCUGAGUGCUCCUAGCAAUGGCAGCAGCAGCAAUAGUAGGUGACUGAAGAGGAGCAUUUCAGUAGUAUCAGUGGCUAUUUUGGCAGUGGGAGUGCCAACCUGUAGCAACCCAACAGGGAAGAAGCCAAGUGAACAGAAAUGGCCAUUGGGUGUUAAUCAGCUGUAAAGAAGAAAGCAGAAAGCCAAGGGAAUCCAAAAAAGAGCUUUGCCCUGUAAGCACAGUUGCCUCACCUAUGACCUCCAUAACUGAGAAAGAAUUUGGCUCCAGCAAUAUUCUCUGUGAAGUUGGUGGCUUGAAUCACUGCCAUGAGCAAAUGAGUUUUCUCUACGGAGAAUGAAUUCUCCUGAGCUGCUGAAACAAAGGAUACCAGAAGCAAAAAAAAAAAACGGUAUGAUCUUUAGAGCAAA
ensembl:lncRNA novel transcript